rnacentral:precursor_RNA from 1 species
CUUCAGUCCACUCUCAGAUGGCUGUAGGGUUUUAUUAGCUGCCGACUCAUCCAUUCACCUACCAAGAAUCAUGGAGGAAUGUAUGUCUUGGUAGCCGACUGGAUGGUGCGGGAGCUAAAAUCUAGCUCUGCGUUGUUUGUGGUUGGACUGAAG